GGGCGAUUAGCUCAGGGGUAGAGCGCCUCGUUGACAUCGAGGAGGUCACAAGUUCAAAUCUUGUAUCGCCCACCA
rnacentral:tRNA from 4 species